rnacentral:tRNA from 1 species
GGGAAGAUGGCUCAAUGGUAGAGUGCUUGCCUUGCAUGCAUGAGGCCCUGGGUUCUAUUCUAUUCCUC